rnacentral:rRNA from 1 species
UACAGAGGUCCCAAGCGUUGUUCGGAUUCACUGGGCGUAAAGGGUGCGUAGGCGGUUGGGUAAGUCUGAUGUGAAAUCUCACAGCUUAACUGUGAAACUGCAUUGGAUACUAUCCGGCUAGGGGAAUGGAGGGGAGACUGGAAUACUUGGUGUAGCAGUGAAAUGCGUAGAUAUCAAGUGGAACACCAGUGGCGAAGGCGAGUCUCUGGACAUUUCCUGACGCUGAGGCACGAAAGCCAGGGGAGCAAACGGG